UCACGAUCGAUACGCUACAAGAAGAUAGGAAUAGGAUGCGACGGAAACGGAAUGUAAGCAAGACGAACUUUGGUUACGAACUGGUCAGUCGGCGAGUGGGCAGUUAGGCCCAAGAGGGAGUGAAGAAUGAUAGUUAAUGAAAAGCUGGAGAAUCGUGAAUACUAGAUGCAGCCCUGAGUCAGAGAGUCAGACGGGGAGAAGGAAGAAAGUAAGAAAAGCAGGUAAAGAGAGAGAAAGAGUCCUGUUCCGCGUGCACGCGUACAUAAAUGUUUGAGCGCACUUUUUCUAUGCAACUCGUUUGUGAUCGGAUGAAAACAGGUAAAUUAUAGAGCUAACAUGUAUCCACCUACGUGUUAUUGCGAGCCAAGGAACAGCUGACUCGAAUAGUCUUCCCUGUUACAGCGUGAUUGAGAGUGUUUCAAUACUUUUUCGAAUUCUCGAAUCGUUGUAGCAAUUUUAAAAAAAAUCUCCAUAAAAUUCUAAAUCUUGGAUCAAA